rnacentral:rRNA from 1 species
GAGUUUGAUCAUGGCUCAGGAUGAACGCUGGCGGCGUGCCUAAUACAUGCAAGUCGAGCGAACAGACGAGGAGCUUGCNCCUCUGACGUUAGCGGCGGACGGGUGAGUAACACGUGGAUAACCUACCUAUAAGACUGGGAUAACUUCGGGAAACCGGAGCUAAUACCGGAUAAUAUAUUGAACCGCAUGGUUCAAUAGUGAAAGACGGUUUUGCUGUCACUUAUAGAUGGAUCCGCGCCGCAUUAGCUAGUUGGUAAGGUAACGGCUUACCAAGGCAACGAUGCGUAGCCGACCUGAGAGGGUGAUCGGCCACACUGGAACUGAGACACGGUCCAGACUCUACGGGAGGCAGCAGUAGGGAAUCUUCCGCAAUGGGCGAAAGCUGACGGAGCAACGCCGCGUGAGUGAUGAAGGUCUUCGGAUCGUAAAACUCUGUUAUUAGGGAAGAACAAAUGUGUAAGUAACUAUGCACGUCUUGACGGUACCUAAUCAGAAAGCCACGGCUAACUACGUGCCAGCAGCCGCGGUAAUACGUAGGUGGCAAGCGUUAUCCGGAAUUAUUGGGCGUAAAGCGCGCGUAGGCGGUUUUUUAAGUCUGAUGUGAAAGCCCACGGCUCAACCGUGGAGGGUCAUUGGAAACUGGAAAACUUGAGUGCAGAAGAGGAAAGUGGAAUUCCAUGUGUAGCGGUGAAAUGCGCAGAGAUAUGGAGGAACACCAGUGGCGAAGGCGACUUUCUGGUCUGUAACUGACGCUGAUAUGCGAAAGCGUGGGGAUCAAACAGGAUUAGAUACCCUGGUAGUCCACGCCGUAAACGAUGAGUGCUAAGUGUUAGGGGGUUUCCGCCCCUUAGUGCUGCNNNNAACGCAUUAAGCACUCCGCCUGGGGAGUACGA